CACAGAAACUGGGAUGAUGGUUCGUACCCAGUCCCAUCAGGAUGAGGAAUCGGCAUGCAGAAAUUUCAGGUCAAAGAAAAUACUGAAAAACUACAGAAACCAGUAUCUGUCUUGCAACAACAGAAAGAACAACAGCAGUUGCCAUGAUGAUUAAAAUACAUUAAGCACGUUUAUAUUCUGCACUAUCAGCAGUCUUGGAUAGCACCUAUGAAAAGGUAAUUGUGGGUAGAUUACCAGUUGUGAGGAAUCAUAAGAAGCCAUUGGUAUAUCUGAAGGAAAAAACAGGCUUGGAUGAGGCGUGAACGUGUAGGCCAUGGGAAGCUCUCAAGUUUCUAGGGAAGGCUUUAUGGGCAAGAGUCACGGGUUCUGGUCCUGUGGGGCCCAACGGUUACUCUCCUGAAAGCAACGGGAAGCCAUGUAGCAGGGCAGAGUGGGCCAUCUUGGGGAAAUGGAAGUUUUUGAAACUCUCAGCUGCUUAUUGUCUGAAACAAUGUCUACCUUGGGUAGCUAUUGUAAGGUUAUUUUCCAAUUAUUCUAAUAAACAGAAGUACUGAAAUUUUGGUCAGAAAAUAAAGAUAGGUCUGGUAAUUUGAAUCAAGUAUCAGCUGGAGUUCAAAUGCAUGCUGUAGCUGCAGUACUGUUGCUAUUUUGUCCUUAAAAUAUGUCAAUACUUAGAUCUUAUUAAUCAUGAAAACUGUAUUUUUAUGCACAUUUUUUCCAGGAAGGAAACAGAUUUCUACUUUGAGAUUUUGAUUGUUACUGUGAAAGUGAGAAACAAAAUCAUUUUGGAAUGAUGAAGAAUACCUUGGCCUCUUUAGAGAUGUGGGGUGGGGGAAGUAUAUUUUGAAUAAACCAACAGAAGUGCAAUUUUCUCUCACUUCUAGCUCUCAGACCUGUUUGCCAGCCAAUAAACUGAAAGAUUGGCUUCCUUUUUGACUAAUUUUGGAUAUGACAGCUUCACUAUACUCAUUUAUUAAUCAGAAAAAUUGUUAUUUUACUGCAUGAGAAACAAUGAAUCACUUGUGUCAUAUUUUAUUAUUGAUUGAAUUUUCUAGGGGUGACAAAUUCAAGUACUUUUUUGUAUCCCAGGCCUUUAACAGACAGCUUACUUGUAUUUGUAUUUUGAACAGCUGCUUAAAAAUGAAAUGUCUGGUGUAUUGGUUUUGUAUGGCAAGGUUUUUGUAGCAGUGGGGCUACAGGGGCAGCUUCUGUGAGAAGCUGCUAGAAGCUUCCCCUAUGUCCGACAGAGCCAAUGCCAGCCAGCUCCAAGACAGACCCACUGCUGGCCAAGG